GCAGCGCCACUGGUACCGUCAUCGUUUCUGUGGGGAGGAGAACCAAGCAGGCCUGGCUCUGGAGCCUUUUGUGCAUUUAUAGCUAGGGCGAGCAUAAGGAGAAAGGCAUGGUCUGAGCUACAGGUGCACUUUGCCCAAGAGUUCCAGAGACGACCUUCUUCAGCAUGCUUAGAGCUAUUGCAUGUGUUUCCCUGAAGUGCUGCUUGCUGUGAUGCAUGUGGCUUUUCCUGUGUUUGCUUUCUUUUGAAUGUUCUAAAUGGUCCUGGUAUAACCCGAUAUUUGAGAACGACUGGUCUGUUUUGUUCCCAUUUAGAAGAUGUCUCCGCAUGGAACUCAGGUGAUGGAUGGUGGGUGGGUCUGCCCCAGGCUGUUUGGAUGGGCUGGAGGGGUUGUUGGUGGCAGGGCCAGGUGAUCCCUUCCCUCCUGCUUUGGGGCAUAGGACCAGGUUUCCACAGGCUAACAUCUGAAGGGCUGUGUUGUGUCUGUUUCAGAGGCCAUGAGUUCCCUCACUGAGAAGUUUCAGAGGCUGUAACGUGGAAUCCAGCAUCUUCUACUGCACAGGCAGCUGCUACAUUGGAGCCCAGAAUGUGUGGCCCAGCUACUGCCCUCCAGUUUCUUCCCAGCCACAGCUUCCUCUGUCCCUGCAUUUGUCUCCUUUCCCGCCCCAGUUCACAGCAGUUUCAAAUUAAAAUACCUGUCAUGUUCUGUGCUCUACGCUCUCUGGGGUUUGAGAAACUGCCCUGUGUCAGAGAAUGUUAAAAUCAGUUCCUCUGUUUAGUUUGUACCACAAUAAAGUUAUCUUUGAAUUGCA